rnacentral:rRNA from 1 species
UACGUAGGGAGCAAGCGUUGUCCGGAAUCAUUGGGCGUAAAGCGCGCGUAGGUGGCCUCAUAAGUCCGCUGUGAAAGUCAAGGGCUCAACCCUUGAAUGCCGGUUGAUACUGUCGGGCUAGAGUCCGGAAGAGGAGUGUGGGAAUUCCUGGUGUAGCGGUGAAAUGCGCAGAUAUCAGGAGGAACACCAAUGGCGAAGGCAGCACUCUGGGACGUGACUGACGCUGAGACGCGAAAGCGUGGGGAGCAAACAGG